rnacentral:rRNA from 1 species
CAAGUCGAACGGCACCCCUCUCCGGAGGGAAGCGAGUGGCGAACGGCUGAGUAACACGUGGAGAACCUGCCCCCUCCCCCGGGAUAGCCGCCCGAAAGGACGGGUAAUACCGGAUACCCCCGGGCGCCGCAUGGCGCCCGGGGCUAAAAGCCCCGACGGGAGGGGAUGGCUCCGCGGCCCAUCAGGUAGACGGCGGGGUGACGGCCCACCGUGCCGACAACGGGUAGCCGGGUUGAGAGACCGACCGGCCAGAUUGGGACUGAGACACGGCCCAGACUCCUACGGGAGGCAGCAUG